UAAUGAUUGACCGAUUUUGAUGAACAAGGAUGAAGAUUCAACAAAUAAAUGUACUAUAUGAAUUUAUACUUUCGAUUAUUAUUCAAUUGAACGAUGUAUGAUUUAAUUCGAGUAUAUUUAACUAAUAUUUUAACAAUAAUAUUUGUUUAAACUUUAGAUACUUAAUAGACGUUAAAUAUAAAAUAAUUUCAAUAGAACAUUUAAAUACACUUAAAUCUCGUACUCCGAUUCGUUACUUGUCUACUAUGUCAACAAAAACGUAUUCUCGACCGACCUUGAUAGCUAUCGAGUCAGUAUUAUUCGGCAUUCCGACGAGUAAACAUCGCAAUUCUCUCUUUUCGUACAACUAAAUUUAUACAAUUUAUAUUUCCGAUUAUUUUUAUAAUGUAUAAUCCGAGUAUUUAAAUAAUGUACGAUGUACAUGGCAAUUAUUAAACUAAAAUUUAAAUAAUAAGUUACUUAAUCAUCCUAGAGCAUGACAUACAUCAAAUGUCAACGAAGACUUAAAGGCUUAAACCGGCUGCGCGAGGAUAGCAGGAGGACACUGACAAAUGGCCGAUUCCAUAGGACGAAGUAAGAGAGCUAAAAUGAGGAAGACUGGAAGGGUGAAGAGGAUGGUAAAAGUGAGGUCAGAAACGGAUAAUUUAUCGAGGUCGAGUACUCUCUUUCCCUUUCUCUUUCUUUCUUUUUCCUUUAUUUUCUUUCGGCUUUUUUUCCUUUUUUUGGGCCUCGCUUGUUUUCACGAGUAUUUAUUAUGAUUACUCUCUCUUCUCUUCUCGUCUCUCUCUCUCUCUCUCUCUCUCUCUCUCUCUCUCUCUCUUUCUCUAUUCUCUCACAUAGUCUCAACAUCGAAAAUCGAAAACCAUGGUGAAAUCGAAUAACUGAUAACGCGUUCUCUGAAUGCGAGACACGCGGGAAAUUGGAAAAUGCUCAUAGGACAUUAUCGACAUUCGCACGAUCGAAGAUGUUGCAUUCGAACGACGAGAACGCCUAAUGGCUAGCACUAUCGCCAGCCCUGACUUUUAUGCCGAUUCGAGAAUCACGAACACUUCGCCGCAUCGUUUAAGCUCUGUUCCCCUUGUGCAUGCGCAUGUAUGUGUGUGUGUGUCUGUGUGUGUCACUUUUAAAAACUCUCCAUGGGUAUCUAUUCGACAACGAACCACUAUUUUUUUUUCUUUUCCCCCUCUAUCUCACUCCCUGCCCCUCUUCCCAUCUCACUCUUUCCUCUCUUAUCGAAAUGAAAUUUUAAACGAGCUUCCCUCCAAGUGAUCUCAAUACCUCCUACAUACUUUCUCAUGAAACGU